AUGCAUGUUAUUGUGAACUCAUACGAGGGAACGACGAACGGCUCAGUAAUGUUGCGCUAAUUUGCUCUAGACGGUAAAGAUAACCACGGUAACCUGUGGCUAAGAGUUUAGAAUAAGGUGCAAUCCUAUCAGUUUGUUGGAAGUGUAAAGGACUCCCAAGACGUUAACGGGUAACGGGAAAUCAGGGUUUGAUUCCGGAGAGGGAGCCUGAGAGAUGGCUCCCAUGUCCAAGGACAGCAGCAGGCGCGAAAAUUGUCCACUCUUUUGGGAGGAGACAGUUAUGAAACGUGAUAGAAAGAGUCGAGUGUAAAAAUCUUGACGUGAAGCAAUUGGAGGGCAAGUUUUGGUGCCAGCAGCCGCGGUAAUUCCAACUCCAAAGGUGUCUAUGGUGGAUGCUGCAGUUAAAGGGUCCGUAGUCGUAGAUGCAAUUAAAAGGUGGCGAUUAAAACCACCUAGUUUGUUAGUUGUUAGCGGAACGGAUAGGGAGCAUGGUAUAGGUGGGCAAAGAAUGAAAUCUCAAGACCCCACCUGGACCAACGGAGGCGAAAGCGAUGCUCUUAGACGUGUCUGUGGAUCAAGGACGAAGGCUAGAGUAUCGAAAGUGAUUAGACACCGCUGUAGUUCUAGCAGUAAACGAUGCCGACAGUGCCGGGCGCAAUUGCCUGGCUAGGGAGAAAUCUUAGUUUUCGGGCUCUGGGGAUAGUACGCUCGCAAGGGAGAAACUUAAAGCGAAAUUGACGGAAGGACACUACCAGGAGUGGAUUGUGCUGCUUAAUUUAACUCAACGCGGGAAAACUUACCAGGGUCAAGUCUAUCGUAGAUCGAAUACGUGAGGUAGACAAGAGUGGUGCAUGGCCGUUGGAAAUUGAUGGGGCGACUUUUGGCUCAAGUGUCGAAACCAGUGAGAUCUUCUAGACAGGUGCUUCAAAGCACAGGAGGGUGAAGGCUAUAACAGGUCCGUUAUGCCCUUAGAUAUCCUGGGCAGCAAGCGCAAUACAAUAUCUCUUGAAUGCAAAAAGUGAUUUGAGAUGAGUAGGAUUAGCCCUUGUAAAUGGGCUAUGAAUAAGGA
rnacentral:rRNA from 1 species